CAACCCUCGAACCCCUCCGGGGGUCCGGCGUUGGGGAUCGGGAACCCCUAAGACGGGAUCCCGGCCCCGAAAUACAGUGGCGGUCUCGCCGCAGCCUCUCAUGCGCAGUAGUUUGCACAACUCGCACCGGGAGCGCGGCGCGUCCACGUCCGUAAAACACCCAACUUCUGAAA
rnacentral:misc_RNA from 1 species